rnacentral:rRNA from 1 species
UAGCGAAGGGGGCUAGCGUUGCUCGGAAUCACUGGGCGUAAAGCGCACGUAGGCGGAUUGUUGAAGUCAGGGGUGAAAUCCUGAGCUCAACUCCAGAACUGCCUUUGAUACUGGCGAUCUUGAGUCCGGGAGAGGUGAGUGGAACUGCGAGUGUAGAGGUGAAAUUCGUAGAUAUUCGCAAGAACACCAGUGGCGAAGGCGGCUCACUGGCCCGGUACUGACGCUGAGGUGCGAAAGCGUGGGGAGCAAACAGG